rnacentral:rRNA from 1 species
GAUGAACGCUGGCGGCGUGCCUAAUACAUGCAAGUCGAGCGAACAGACGAGGAGCUUGCUCCUCUGACGUUAGCGGCGGACGGGUGAGUAACACGUGGAUAACCUACCUAUAAGACUGGGAUAACUUCGGGAAACCGGAGCUAAUACCGGAUAAUAUAUUGAACCGCAUGGUUCAAUAGUGAAAGACGGUUUUACUGUCACUUAUAGAUGGAUCCGCGCCGCAUUAGCUAGUUGGUAAGGUAACGGCUUACCAAGGCAAUGAUGCGUAGCCGACCUGAGAGGGUGAUCGGCCACACUGGAACUGAGACACGGUCCAGACUCCUACGGGAGGCAGCAGUAGGGAAUCUUCCGCAAUGGGCGAAAGCCUGACGGAGCAACGCCGCGUGAGUGAUGAGGGUCUUCGGAUCGUAAAACUCUGUUAUUAGGGAAGAACAAAUGUGUAAGUAACUAUGCACGUCUUGACGGUACCUAAUCAGAAAGCCACGGCUAACUACGUG